UCCAGCAGUGGUCUACACUCGAGAAACUCGGCAGCGUUUAAAAAUAGAGCCUGUGCGAGUGCAGCGUCUCUCCAACAGUGGUCUACACUCGAGACACUCGGCAGCGUUUAAAAAUACAGGCUGUGCGAGUGCAGCGUCUCUCCAACAGUGGUCUACACUCGAGACACUCGGCAGCGUUUAAAAAUAGAGCGUGUGCGAGUGCAGCGUCUCUCCAACAGUGGUCUACACUCGAGAAACUCGGCAGCUUUUAAAAAUAGAGCGUGUGUGAGUGCAGCGUCUCUCCAACAGUGGUCUACACUCGAGACACUCGUCAGUGUUAAAAAAUAGAGCGUGUGCGAGUGCAGCGUCUCUCCCACAGUGGUCUACACUCGAGACACUCAGCAGCUUUUAAAAAUAGAGCGUGUGUGAGUGCAGCGUCUCUCCAACAGUGGUCUACACUCGAGACACUCGUCAGCGUUUAAAAAUAGAGCGUGUGCGAGUGCAGCGUCUCUCCAACAGUGGUCUACACUCGAGAAACUCGGCAGCUUUUAAAAAUAGAGCGUGUGUGAGUGCAGCGUCUCUCCAACAGUGGUCUACACUCGAGACACUCGUCAGUGUUUAAAAAUAGAGCGUGUGCGAGUGCAGCGUCUCUCCAACAGUGGUCUACACUCGAGACACUCGUCAGCGUUUAAAAAUAGAGCGUGUGUGAGUGCAGCGUCUCUCCAACAGUCUACAAAUGGCUUUGCUGCUUUUCAUUUCUUUGCAACUCUUGAAGGGUCCUGUUUCAAACUUUGAUUUCUCCAAAUCGUGGCAACAACAUGAAAUAAAAAGCUCUGCACCCUCGGAGAGAUUGGAGUGGGUGUGGA
rnacentral:lncRNA from 1 species